rnacentral:lncRNA from 1 species
CUUUAUUAUGUAAAUCAAUAUAUACAAAAUGAUAUAGCAGCAUAGUAAAUCAGCAAUAUUUUGAUGUCAGAAUGGAUUGCCAUUAUAUAAAUUUUGUUGAUUGUUGGCAUGUCUUUUUUUAUUCAAAAUAUUGUCUCGCAACAAAAUUUCAGUGAUUUGAAACCUCAGGCUGACCAUGCUGACUCAUAAUAAAAUUAUUUAAACAUGUCAACCAAAACUAACCAUAUAAGCACUUAAUCAUGUCUAUUAUGUAAAUCUAUAUAGCAGCAUAGCAAAUCAGCAAUAUUUUGAUUCUUUUCUGUUUACGUAAUAUAAAACGGUCACUGAAGUCAGUAUCUGUAUCUGUAUUUCAAACUUCUGAACAUGGAUGGGUAUGCCGUUAAUUCAUUUUGGCUAUUGUUUGAUUGGUGGAUCUGCGCAUAAAUAAGUCAUGCUUGCUGAGGUGUGCUCAUUUAAACCCAGUGGUUCAGGAUAUUUUGUAAGAUUCACCAUAUCGCUAAUCCUGGCUGAGCCGGCUGCUUGAACUUUUCAUGCAUAUAACAAUCACUUUUCCAUGGUGGCGUCAUAUAUUUUGUUUUAUGACGUCAAAAUUUUACGGGAAAUUUUACAUGUCUAUUAAUGGCAGACAAAUAGCGAUAAGGUUUAUAAAACUAACCCAGUAGUACAUCCCCCAACAAUGUGACUGACAUGAGAGAUACUUUCAUGACUUUAUAAUGAGAAGUUCUCUUCUUGGAAAAGUAUACUGUUACAUGUAGUAUAUUAUGUCGGUUGGUUGAUUUUGUUGGUAGCUAAAUUUCAAGUGGCAAAUAUUUCAUUCCUGUUCGCAUAAGUAUUUUUUCGAACGUUCACGGUAUCAUUUAUAAUUUAUAAUGACAAAUCUAACACAAAUGGUGACAAUUGACGAGAUUGUUCAUAGUUAUACAACACCUUAUGUGCAAUACAUGUAACACUGUACAGUGUACAAUUUCCUUUUGAACAUUUUCUGGAAAACAGAAUCGUGAAUCCAAGGCAAAC